GAUGAACGCUAGCGGGAGGCUUAACACAUGCAAGUCGAAGGGCAGCACGUCUUCGGAUGGUGGCGACUGGCGAACGGGUGCGUAACGCGUAUGCAACCUACCCUCAACAGGGGAAUAGCCCAGAGAAAUUUGGAUUAAUACCCCAUAGUAUUACAGAUUCGCAUGUUUCUGUGAUUAAAGUUCCAACGGUUGAGGAUGGGCAUGCGUGACAUUAGCUUGUUGGUGAGGUAACGGCUCACCAAGGCAACGAUGUCUAGGGGUUCUGAGAGGAUGAUCCCCCACACUGGUACUGAGACACGGUCCAGACUCCUACGGGAGGCAGCAGUGGGGAAUUUUGGACAAUGGACGCAAGCCUGAUCCAGCCAUUCCGCGUGCAGGAUGAAGGCCUCGGUUGUAACUGCUUUGUACGGUACGAAAGGUUUACUCUAAUACAGAGGGCUCAUGACGGUACCGUAAGAAUAAGCACCGGCUAACUACGUGCCAGCAGCCGCGG
rnacentral:rRNA from 1 species